rnacentral:rRNA from 1 species
GUGUCAGCAGCCGCGGUAAGACGAACCGUGCGAACGUUGUUCGGAAUCACUGGGCUUAAAGGGCGCGUAGGCGGCUUGCCAAGUCAGUGGUGAAAUCCCACAGCUUAACUGUGGAAGUGCCUUUGAUACUGGCGAGCUCGAGGGAGGUAGGGGUAUGUGGAACUUCUGGUGGAGCGGUGAAAUGCGUUGAUAUCAGAAGGAACGCCGGUGGCGAAAGCGACGUACUGGACCUCUUCUGACGCUGAGGCGCGAAAGCUAGGGGAGCAAACGGGAUUAGAUACCCCGGUAGUCCUAGCCCUAAACGUUGGGUACUAGGUUGUGGACUAACAUGGGUUCACAGCCGAAGCAAAAGUGUUAAGUACCCCGCCUGGGGAGUAUGGUCGCAAGGCUGAA